rnacentral:rRNA from 1 species
GACGAACGCUGGCGGCACGCUUAACACAUGCAAGUCAAACGAAGAUGUUUCACCGUAGCUUGCUACGCCGAGACAUUUUAGUGGCGGACGGGUGAGUAACACGUGAGCAAUCUGCCUUUCAGAGGGGGAUACCAGUUGGAAACGACUGUUAAUACCGCAUAACAUAUCGAGAUCGCAUGAUAUUGAUAUCAAAGAUUUAUCGCUGAAAAGAUGAGCUCGCGUCUGAUUAGAUAGUUGGUGAGGUAACGGCUCACCAAGUCGACGAUCAGUAGCCGGACUGAGAGGUUGGACGGCCACAUUGGGACUGAGACACGGCCCAGACUCCUACGGGAGGCAGCAGUGGGGAAUAUUGCACAAUGGGCGCAAGCCUGAUGCAGCGAUGCCGCGUGAGGGAAGAAGGUUUUAGGAUUGUAAACCUCUGUCUUCAGGGACGAUAAUGACGGUACCUGAGGAGGAAGCUCCGGCUAACUACG